CGGCCGCGCCUCUCAAACGCCCCGCACCCGCCCCUCUCGGAAGCACGUGCGCCGACGUCAUUUCCUGUUAUUCUCUUCGCUCCCUCCUCCGUCAGUAGUGGGUUUCUUCUGGACCGGUUUUUGGGGCGUGCCCUUUUCCUCUAUGUCAGAUGAGGCCCAGAGAGGUGAAGCUUCUUGUUGAGCUGAGGAGCGACAAGGCCGAUCUCAAGUCCCCGGUCUUCGCAAAGCACGACGUCUUUGGCAAAAGGGAGCUGGAAGGAUGAAAAUUACUUUGGGAGGAUGGAUACCAGCUUUGGUUGAAGGAAUAAGAGCUGAAGAGGAGCUGAAGGAUGAGAAGCCACAGGUGUAGAAAGAAGUCUUCAAUACGGGCUUUGAGAAGUUGUCAGUACUUCAGUUUCAAGUCUCCCAUCCUCUGGCCUUCAGAAUUUCUCUAUUGCUCUUUCAAAGCACCUUCUCCCAGUGGACACCCACACCUGAAGCCACCUCUGAGAAUCAUCUUAGCCCAGAGAUACCCCUCACCACAGACCAGGGCUCCAGAACAAGUGUAUCCUGUGCUGACCCAGAACACCCACUGUGGACUCGUCUGCCCAGACGCCAGAAGAAAAGCCUCAUGCUCAUUUCUCAGCUGUGAAACCUGAGAUCCCGUGAAUUUCCCAGGCCAUCACAGUCAAGCCAAGACCAGCCCCUGGGGCUUCUGCGAAGCCUGGAGCUGCCGGCAGAGGCUCUGGCACCACACGAAUAUGUUCACAUUCCCUCCACUAGGUCCUGCCAAGUGGGAAAGGAGUGGAGCCCAGUCCUAACCCCUGCCCAGCAUGGUGAGGACUCCUGGAGGAAGUGUCCGUGGAGGACUUGUCGGUAAUACCUGGAUACUCCCAAGAAAAUGUCCCACGUGGCAGAAGUGGCAUAGACUCGCCUGCAGCCUUUGCAGAUCGCCCAACAGCAGACUCUCAGAGUGGGCAGACAGCUGGUGCCAGGAAUAGGAAUUCUGCCAGCAGUUCUGUGCAUUUGAUCUGCAGCCUGCCGUGGUUUUCCAAUCCGAAGUGCACCUGAUCCCAUGGUCCGGUCCUCGAGUCAGUACCCAGCGUCUGUGAUGUCCUUUUCUGGCAGGAAGGGCCUGCAAGCCACCUGUUGAUUCAUCAAACUGUGUGCAUGCCCAGAGCUUCCAGCAGAGUGUCCCUGAACAGAUGGCCAGGGCACGGGGGCAGCAAGGCCCAGACGUUUGAGGAUGGACUAUGCUGGUGACACUUGAAAAGUUUCCGCAGUUCAAAGAGAUGAGUGGGGCUGGGAGAGAAGAUGAGCCAGCUCUGACUGGAGGACCUAGUCUGCUGCACACCCCAGAAAGAGCCUGCGUGCAUUAGAUCAGCACCUCUCACACCGAGGUGUGUGCUAAUCUCCGGGGGUCUGGUCUAGUUAAACUAUGGAUUCCGAUUUAGCAGAUCUAGGGUAGGGCCUGAGAUUCUGCAUUUCUUACCAGUUCCCAGGGAUGUGCUGAUACUUCACACCAUACUUUGAGUAACAAAGCCCUAGGACAGUGGUAUCGCAACCCCUCUGGGGUGCUCUAAAAAUAUAGAAAAUUUGGCUCACCCAAACCUACUGAUUCAGAAUCUUCUGGUCCAUUCAUUCAGUAGGUCUCCACUCAGACUGCACAUUGGAAUCACUUGAAGAGUUGGGUUUUUUUGGUUUUCUUUGUCUUUUUCUUUUUGAUGCUAAUUUCCAGGGUAGAGGCUCACUCAUUGAUCUUUCUUUUCUGCCUCUUUCUUUUUCUCUUUUUUUCUUCCUCCCUUCCUCCCUCCCCUCCUUCUCUCUCCCUUUCUCUCUCUCUGCUUUAGUUUGAAAAGCUCCCACAGGUGACUCUGAUGGACAGUCCAGUUUGGUGUCCCAGCAGAGGUUGUGGUUCCCAGCCCUGGCUGAACAACAGAGUCACCUGGCAGUUUUAUAAAAUGUUGGGCCCCUCCUUCGGACCAAUUUAAUCAGAAUUCCUAGGGGUCGGGCCAAGAGAUUAGGAUUUCACAGAGCUCCCCAGAUGAUUAUAAAGUGUAGUGGCUGAUGUAAAAUCAUCUGGGAUUCUCGAUGAAGUACAGAUUAGCACUCUCCACCCUGAACAUUCAGAUUCAAGGCCUGGGCCGAGGUCCAAGAACCUAUCUGUGUAACAAGUGUCGCAGCCGAUCGAUCGGGAAACACUGAGGUAGCAAAAAGGUCCCUGGACUGGAGGCAGAAAGACAAUGCUGGCUGUGUGACUCCUCACAGCUUACUUAGCCUCUCUGAGAUUCGUUUCUUCAUCUGUAAAAUGGAGAUGAUAGCUGCAUGAGCUAGAGAUGGGUCACCAUCCCCCAGAAUCCUGUGUGCCGGUUCCGUAGGAUAGAGUUGUUGGAAAGUGGCUGCCACAGGCCAGGGACUAUAUUUCCCAGCUCCACUUUGCUCUCACGUGGGGCAGCCACAGGACUAAGUUCUGGCCAAUGGACCGUGGGCAGAGUUAGGAGUGAUCACAUGGUCCUCUGCUCGCUCUUCACAAUCUGUGCAUUGGAUAUCAAUGGCCACUGGAUACCAGUGCCCAUUGGUUAUCAGUGCCUGGGUGAUCUUGGAAGCCACAUGGGAAGUUGGAAGAACGCCCUGCUCCUCGCAUGCUGCUAAUUGGACUUUAUGUGAUUAAAGUCCAAUUGCUAAUUGGACUUGACGUGAUUAAAAAAUAAGCUUCUGUGUAAAGCUGCUCGAUUGGGCAGUUUAUCUGUUACAGUAGCUAGUGCUGUAUUAACUAACAUACUCCCUCCAUGAUUGUGGCAAAAAUUAAAUAUUCUAAAGCAGAGGCUGCAGACAGACAAUAGCAGGGUUUAGAUCCCAUCCACGAACUCACAAAUAGGUUUUGUUACACUUGCACUAGUGUUCUAUUUUGUUAAAAAAUUUAUCAACAGAUUUUAAAAUGAGCAAUUUCACAGCAAACAUCCAGAUUCCCACGUUCCUAAAAACCCAGAAUAGCUUAUUGGCUAUACCCAGGAGCAGCUGAAAAGAACAAGUGUUCUAUUCGUUAGUCUCCGCCACACCCUGUCGACUCGUACCUGGUCGACCUCACAUUUACGGCAUUUCUGGCAUUUCUCUGGUCUCCGUAGCUUCCUGAGUCCGCGGGCCCUGAUGUAAUAGAUGUGGAAGUUAGAUUCAUUCACUGUUAGGGCUUUUCACAGUAAUUCCUUCAGGUAACUUCUAACUCAGAAUGAUUCAUAUGCCCAAAACUUAGAAGCAGAAUCCAUCAAGUGAUCCUUACACUCUGAAGGGUGUCAGCCAUGUCCACCCCACCCACGUCUGUGACCAUUUCAGCAUCUUCUGUGUGGAGACAGUGGUGUGAGGAGAAGAGAACUCAGGUGUGUCUGGGGCUCAGAUACCAACCCCCGCUCUGCUGCUUCCUAGCUUCCUGGUUCGAUUUCGAGUAACAUUUUGUGUUUUCUGAGCCUCAGUUUACGCAUCUGUCAGGUGUGGACAUUAGUACCCUUCUCAUGGGAUUUCUGUAAAGGGUCUGGCUAAAGGACAGUCAGGCUAUAUGAAUUCCUUCCCUUUCUCCUAUUGUUCAAGGACCAGGGCCAGCUUGCCCCCAAGAGUAUAAGGUAGAAAUCAAGCAGUAUAUUUUUUCAAAAACAACUCUGAAUUCUUUUUAACAGAUAUAAAUAAUGCACUUCCAUUAUAGGUGCAGAAGUCCACUCAGGCUGCCAUAACAAAAUAUCACAAAUUGGGUGGCUUAAAGAACGGAAAUGUAGUUUCUCACAACUCUAGAAGUGGGAAGUCCAAGAUGAAGAUCUCACCAGAGUUGGUUUCUGGUGAGACUCCUCACUGGCACAUGCCACCUUCUCACUAUGUCCUCACGUGGCCUUUCCUUGGUGCUUACUUGAGGAAAGAUCUUGGUGUCUGAUCCUCUGAUAAAGACACCAUUUUGGGGGGAUUUGGGCCCCAGCCUUAUGACCAAAUUUAACCUUAAUGACCCCCUUAAAGGCCCUGUAUCCAAAUACUGUCACAUUGAGGUUUAGGACUUAAACAUAUGGAUUUUUGUGGGGAUAUAAUUCAGUCCACAACAGUAGGAAAACCAGAAAAUUUAAUUUUAAAAAGUCACUUAUGAUCUCCUUGCUCCAGUCUAACCACAUAAGUACUUUUAUUGACAAUCUGUCUGUAAUUUAUAUGUUUAAAAAAAUUGAACUGUACAUACUUUUCUGGUAACCUGCUUGCUUUUUUUUUUUUACAUUUUAAAGAUUAUAAUAACCUCAGCUAAAGAGGAUUUUUAGAGUAAUAUAUAAUUGUAAUCUGUUUUUAUAUAAUUGUAAUCUGUUUUUAAUUGUAACCUUUUCAUUGUAACCUUUCUCAUUUAGUGGAUAUAAAUUGUUUCAUGGAUUUACUCUUAUUUACCUAAGACCCUAUUGUCAGGACACUUAGAGUUCUAUUUCUAUGGACUUGGGCGUUUGUCAGCUCUUGAUUUUGGGCUAAUAAUAGCUUCAUCCACUUGAGCAUCAGUUUUCUCAUUCGUGUUAUCAGGGUAAUAACAAUGUCACCUCAAUUAAAAGAAUGACUGUAA